rnacentral:tRNA from 1 species
GCCAGGAUAGCUCAGUGGUAGAGCAACGGUUUCGUAAACCGUAGGCCGUGAGUUCAAGUCUCACUCCUGGCU